rnacentral:rRNA from 1 species
CAGCCGCCACGGUAAUACAGAGGGUGCAAGCGUUAAUCGGAAUUACUGGGCGUAAAGCGCGCGUAGGUGGUUCGCCAAGUUGGAUGUGAAAUCCCCGGGCUCAACCUGGGAACUGCAUCCAAAACUGGCGAGCUAGAGUAUGGUAGAGGGUGGUGGAAUUUCCUGUGUAGCGGUGAAAUGCGUAGAUAUAGGAAGGAACACCAGUGGCGAAGGCGACUACCUGGACUGAUACUGACACUGAGGUGCGAAAGCGUGGGGAGCAAACAGGAUUAGAGACCCCCGUAGUCCCUGUCUCUUAUAA